UACGUAGGGGGCAAGCGUUGUCCGGAUUUAUUGGGCGUAAAGAGCGUGUAGGCGGCCAAGCAGGUCCGCUGUGAAAACUCGAGGCUCAACCUCGAGACGUCGGUGGAAACCGUUUGGCUAGAGUCCGGAAGAGGAGAGUGGAAUUCCCGGUGUAGCGGUGAAAUGCGCAGAUAUCAGGAGGAACACCGAUGGCGAAGGCAGGUCUCUGGGCCACUACUGACGCUGAGAAGCGAAAGCAUGGGGAGCGAACAGG
rnacentral:rRNA from 1 species